UACAGAGGGUGCGAGCGUUGUUCGGAAUUAUUGGGCGUAAAGCGCGAGUAGGCGGUCUGUUAAGUCGCGUGUGAAAGCUCCCGGCUCAACCGGGAAAGUGCGCGCGAAACUGGUAGACUUGAGUCCUGGAGAGGGUGGCGGAAUUCCCGGUGUAGAGGUGAAAUUCGUAGAUAUCGGGAGGAACACCAGAGGCGAAGGCGGCCACCUGGAAAGAGACUGACGCUGAGAAGCGAAAGCGUGGGGAGCAAACAGGAUUAGAUACCCUGGUAGUCCACGCCGUAAACGAUGAGUGCUAGCUGUGUCGGGAGUUGACCCCUGACGUGGCGACGCUAACGCAAUAAGCACUCCGCCUGGGGAGUACGGCCGCAAGGUUAAA
rnacentral:rRNA from 1 species